rnacentral:rRNA from 1 species
GAUGAACGCUGACAGAAUGCUUAACACAUGCAAGUCUUUGGCGAAGCUGUGCUUGCACAGCCUAGCCAAGGCGGACGGGUGAGUAACGCGUAAGGAACUUGCCCUGCAGUCAGGGAUAACAGACGGAAACGACUGAUAAGACCUGGUAAAGUCAGGCGGACUCAUGUCCAGCCUGAUGAAAAGAGAUGCUGCAGGAGAGCCUUGCGUCCUAUUAGCUUGUUGGUGGGGUAACGGCCCACCAAGGCGAUGAUAGGUAGCCGGCCUGAGGGGGUGGACGGCCACAAGGGGACUGAGAUACGGCCCUUACUCCUACGGGAGGCAGCAGUGGGGAAUAUUGGACAAUGGGGGCAACCCUGAUCCAGCAAUUCUGUGUGCACGAUGAAGGUUUUCGGAUUGUAAAGUGCUUUCAGCAGGGAAGAAAAAAAUGACGGUACCUGCAGAAGAAGCGACGGCUAAAUACGUG